GAGUCUAAGACAGACAUACGAUAACCAUAACAAUAACCAGUUACGCACCAUUAGCAUUAAUAAAACUUUAUUUAUAAUCGAUAUACAUUGAAUUGCUAAGUAUAUAUAUAUAUUUUUAUAUUAUAUAUAUAUAUAUUUAUUUAUAGUCAAUUAUUUACAAGAGUCACGUUUUCGCAUGAUUAAUUAAAAUAGAAUUAUUACAAUAAACUAUAGAGUAAAUCAAACAACAAUGCAUCGGACGCUAGAAGAAUCCGACAUGCUUCAUUCUGCAAAACUGUGUGCACGACUUUACAAGUUCGAUGGCAAGAUGUCUCUUACAAUUUAAGUUCACUGUACAUCGUGCACGUUCAGGUGGACGCUUCGUACACACGUAUCGUAUUCGACUCUUACCUUUGUUAGGUAUGGCACUUAACGCAUUCGUGCGCGUCUCACGAUGCCACGUUCGAGUUCUAAUCCUAUCGAACCAAAGGCUCGUGGACGUAAUCGUAUCGGUAUUUGAAUAAUAAUAACCGACGAUGGUACGGCUAAUAACACGUAAUUACUUCCUCUUUGUUAAUCAAUUGUAAACACGCACCUUUCUAUCGUGCGUUUUCCCUUUAUACGCACAUAGCUGUGAAUCACGAAAUUUUAUCGCUCUUCCGCCUAAUUAAAUUCUCGCUCCUUUUUAUUAAGCUUGUAAGCUUUUUG
rnacentral:misc_RNA from 1 species